CAAGAAAUUUGAAUUGGUUAAAAUUUCAAGGCCACCAUAACAAGUAAUGGAAAUGAAAAAUAAUUUAAUAUGGAGCAGAAUAUCCUAAUCCAAAAAUAUACUUAUUAGCACAGUUACUAAUUUUCCUAAACAUAAUGUGAGAUAAUUUAGAACAAACACAAAUCCACGUUGAAUGCCAAGCUAAUAUAGACUAAGUCUCCUUCAAUUUAAAAUUGCCAAACAAGUCGGAAACUUUACAACAAUCCAAGACCUGAAGUCCAUUUAAAGAUUUGUAAAUCUUUACCAACUUUCAAACCUUCCUGCAAUUUCAAGAAAAUUAUAAUUAUAUACAAUAACCCCAUUCGUUGAAUAUGCAGUCAAGUAAAGGCAGCAGCAUAUAUACCUUUGCUACAUAUUUAGCAAUUGCAAUGUUUAUCACUUUCUUAAUAACUUGGUGGUACACUUUCGACGGGCCUAGAAUUUCCAAAAGAAUCUCUUUCGGUAUCUGCAAGAAGGUAUAUUCUACAUUAGGGAAAAGAAAAAAAAAUUAUUUCUACAUUUUGGCGAAAACUUUAUCAUAUAUUUCUUGCGUUUUGGUUCCGGAAACCUCUACAGUGAUCUGCAAAGAAACCAUGAAAAAAAAACCGAAAAGAAAGAAGUCAUUACAAACUAUCAACAUAAUGAGAAAACUAUUACAGUAUUCACUACCUUUAGUUCGUCGUCUUUGUCAGAAGAUGUGGCUGUAAAACUGAACUCUUCAACCGAAGAAGAAGAAGAAACUUCAAAGCCAUCGACACCUG
rnacentral:lncRNA from 1 species